GGCAGAACCAUCUGCUGAGAGCAGGGUGGGAGGUGGUGGCAGGAGUUGAGGGAGGGGCAGGAGAAUGAGGUUCCCAGCAUCUCCUAACCGUGCAGAGGCGCCUUCGGAGGGAGCCCGUGCAGCUGCCGCUCCUCUUGCUCCGUGGUUGUGAGCUGCCCUUCUGCAUUCCACAGCUCACCCUGGGAGACGCUGGGCUGACCCAAGGCUGGAAUGUUCUGGGGCAGAGCGACGAGUACCAGACCACGGGCUCCGGACUGGAUUGGAGAGCAAGUAAGGGUUCACAAAAGUGUGGACGAAGUAAAGGAUGGCCAAACUCCGACAGUGUCCCAUCCAGACCAAGCCAGACGCUGGCCUGGGCCUGGUUUUGCCCUUCUCCUCCUCUACUACCUGGCACAAGGACUCCACCACCUCCUGCCAGA